ACAGGACCUACUUGAGGAUGGCCUUAAGGUACUCCCCGACGACUCUCCGCCUACGAACUGGUGCCAUGGUGCAGCGCUCCGUAUGCGGCGUCUAUACUGAGACAUUAGAACUUAUAUCUCUAGAGCUGACGGCCCUCCUAAUCUUAAGUGAUGGUUGUUCCGCCGACCGCUAACUGUAUCAAUGCGAAGAUUGCUCUACAAAUGCGGGAGCCGAACAAAGGUAACGACAGCAAAAUCGAAAUGAAAACUAAUGAAGUAUAUUUUUUGGAAUGAAGUUCCUUAUGGGACGAUGCGGAGGGGUACCCUAAGGUAACCGCGAAAAAGCGUCCGUAACGUAAGAUUUUUAUUAGUAAUGCACACAGUGUACGACUUAACUUUGUAAUAACGUACAAAAAAUAACAUAGUUUUAUUAUAUAUUUUUCAUAAAUCAUUCUGAAUAAAAUAAAGUUGAUAAUUUUGUAAA